rnacentral:lncRNA from 1 species
AAUAGCUCUCUCUUGGUUAACAGAUUUAAAAAAGAUAUCUUAGGAAAUAAAUGAUAAUCCCAUAUACAUUAAAAGAGAAGUCACUUUAGUGAUUUCUGCUGAGGUGGCAUUCAUAUAGAACUUCUCAGGAAAAACGUUAUAAUUCUAUUAGCUGUUUUUUUUUAAUUUUUCUUUUUCAUUUAUUUUUUUCACUCCCCUCCGCAUUUACUAAAACACCAUCGUAUGUCAUGAAUUCUUUUUUUUUUCAAUCGCGUAUCAAUGGAAGUUCUAUAUGGUUUCGAUCCAAUGAAGACAGUCCGACCAGAUGAGUUUGCUUCUCCCUACUCUGCUACUUCAAUCAUAUCCAUCGCGAACAUCGACGAUAACCAGACGAGGUGUAGUUUGUCGAUACUCACGGAAUUUACGGUUUUUUUGGUUUCUCUGAUUGAAUUCGACUUUUAAGCUAAUUGGCGAAGAUUUUUUUGGUUUCUCUGAUUGGAUUCGACUUUUAAGCUAUGAUACAAAGAUUGUUUGAUUUCUCUGAUUGGAUUCAACAUAUGUUAAGCUAUAAACUACGAUCUGCUUAUUAACAUUUAGAAUCUUUGUAUCUAAUUGACUGAUUAACCUUCUUGCUUUUGAGGUCCUGAUUCUCUUAAACAAGACAAUUGCCACGACCAGAGAUGUGUUAUGCGGACUGUCUACUGAUGGAACAAGAAGAGACAACUGACAUUUACAAGAAACUUGCAUUCGACUUCAGUCUCUGAAUCAGGACUGUAAGAUUAUCUUCUCCUUAAUAACUCAACAAGCAUUUAGACAGUUCUCUCUUGAGAUUUUCAAGUUUGGUUUUUUUUUGUUUCAUUAGCACGAUUUAGAGCUUCACAUUACUAAUUCUGAUAGUCUGUUGCAUCGCUAAUUG